AGGCAUGACCCAUUAAUGUCCCCUAAAAUCAUUAUCCUAAUUUUUAGGAUUCAUCAUAAUCUUUAAUAUAAAAGAUACAACUAAAAUGAUAAAUCACAAUGCCUCAUUUUAUUUAUAUCAAAAUAAAAUCAUUACAUGAGUUGAAAAAAUAUACGGAUAAGUUCCAUCACAUCACCGUUGUGAUUGACUUAUAGAGUACUUAUUUUUUCACAUACAAAUAAGAAAACUAAUUAGAUUGA
rnacentral:lncRNA from 1 species